rnacentral:ncRNA from 22 species
GCUACCCAUGUAGGUGAUGGUUCCCAAACCCCAAGAUAUGGUGGUGCGGGAUGAAAAGGGAACAUGGUGCGGCUCUGGAAGACUUUCCCAGAGGUCAAGUCCAUGACUGCCCCCGCAACUGUAAGCGGCGAGCAACCCGGUAUGACCACUGGCCACAGAGGCGCCCCCGCGCGCCUGGGCCGGGAAGGACCGGCACGCAGCGACCCGCAAGUCAGGAGACCUGCCAUCACCGUUGAAACCUGA